GAUGAACGCUGGCGGCGUGCCUAAUACAUGCAAGUCGAGCGAACGGACGAGAAGCUUGCUUCUCUGAUGUUAGCGGCGGACGGGUGAGUAACACGUGGAUAACCUACCUAUAAGACUGGGAUAACUUCGGGAAACCGGAGCUAAUACCGGAUAAUAUUUUGAACCGCAUGGUUCAAAAGUGAAAGACGGUCUUGCUGUCACUUAUAGAUGGAUCCGCGCUGCAUUAGCUAGUUGGUAAGGUAACGGCUUACCAAGGCAACGAUGCAUAGCCGACCUGAGAGGGUGAUCGGCCACACUGGAACUGAGACACGGUCCAGACUCCUACGGGAGGCAGCAGUAGGGAAUCUUCCGCAAAGGGCGAAAGCCUGACGGAGCAACGCCGCGUGAGUGAUAAAGGUCUUCGGAUCGUAAAACUCUGUUAUUAGGGAAGAACAUAUGUGUAAGUAACUGUGCACAUCUUGACGGUACCUAAUCAGAAAGCCACGGCUAACUACGUA
rnacentral:rRNA from 1 species